CAUGGAAUGACAGGACCAAGAAUAGAAAAUGAGACUCAAAUUUCACCAUUUACUUCCCAUCAGCAACCAUUACUGGUGGAGUUUCAAACAGUCAUUACUUGCUGAAAUGAGGUUUGAGGUUACCUGUGUAUUUCAUUCACCUGUGUUAAUAUUUCCUUCAUCGUGGACAAGUGAGAGUUGGCUGUGGCUUUAUUUCUUGAGGCAAAUUAUUUUGCAUUCAUGUUAUUUGGGGCUAGGUAUUGCUUAGGUUCGUGAAUGCUGUUCUUACAGACACAGAUGGUACCUGAGCCCCUCAGACACCUGCCCUUUCAGGGACGUGAGCAUGACUUACAUCUGUCAAGUGGUUCCAUACUUCUUGUAAAAGUAAAGUUUGGGUAUUGUUUGCUGUAUCAAUAUGAUGGCUUUCCAUGCAUUGUCUCAUUAUCCCUAGGAUACGUGCUAAAGGAAAACUGUCCUGUAAUUCCUGUUAAUAUAUUGUUAAUGUCAGACGUGAUGUGAUACCGUUAGACUGUCCAAAUGUACAACAAUUUAAUGGUGUUUGUAGAACUGAUAUGUCUUAAAUGUUGCAUGAAAUAUGUUAUAAAAAUAGAUUUGUUUUCUAUUUUCAACACCUCAGAAUUGAGGGUUCAUGGGCCAAUAAGUGCAAUAUUUAAUGACUCACUCAGUGUAUAUAAACUAGUAUGAAAGAGUGAAUUAUAAUGAAUGUGUGAGAUGCUUUGAUAGCUGUGUGACUUAUUCAAAUGAUUUUCUUGUAGCUGUAUUUGUCUAGUGGUGCAAUUUAUACAGUAAAUAUCUUAUUGGUGUCAUGUAAAACCCCUCUGUGCCUACUUCAAAAUACUUUUUUCUUAUAAAACCAAACAUUUAGUAUCUGGAAAUAUGUGUCAAUUUUAUCUCUUAGAAUUGUGGAUUUUAUUGUCAAGACAGAAUGGCUGUUCAUUUAUUUUAUAAAAGCAUCUCCUUCUAUAACUCAAAAUUUUCUUUAAGUGUCAUAUAAAAGUGUACAUUUUACUUUUAAGCAACUAAUUUAGAUACCUAAGAAAAACUAUGUGCAUUAGGAAAAGUCAUGUUUUUCUUCUCAGAAAGGUUGAUCACAUGACAUGUCUACUAAGAAUUUUCACCUCUGUACUUGUAUGUAUAUUUUAUUGUUACUCAAUCUUGUAUUUUAUUUACAAAUUCAACACUGUCAACCCUGGGAAUUCUAAAAUACCAAUGUAUUUUUAGGUUGUAGCUAAUGUUGUAUUCACUUUCAAUUCUCAGUUGUCCACACUGGUGAUAUAAGAGGAACAAAUCAGAAUCAUUAAAUACUUUGUAAUGCCAUCAUAAACUCAUAUAUUCAUCCUCAAACUCCCUUGUUUAAUGCUAAUUGGUGGCCUGGAACUUCACUGAGAUGCAAAAUCAAGAACUGAAGCCUAGUUGCUAGAUAACGAAAAGCUAUAAAUGUUUAUGUAUGUGAAUUUUAAAUUAGAAUAACCGUCUUAAACUCCUACUUGCCAUUUCUAAGGCAAAGCAUUCAUUUUAAUAUUGUACUUUGCCUUUUCAUUCAGUUAGUGGAGUAAGUCAUGAAACCCUUAGGAAGAAAAACAAGUUAUGACUUAUUCACUAAAAUUGAUGCAAGACAGUUGGUUCUAGAUGACCAUGGCCAUGUGUUCAUCAUAUAAAACCUUCAGUUCUCUCUAUGGUGCUUGGCUGGAGAUUGACAUGUGAGGAUGUGCCAAUCAUAUUAAAUGGAUUUGGUCUAUGUGGGUGAUAUGUGGCCUGAAUGUAACUGUGAUAGACUGAAAUUUGUUCUUAGCUCUCAAAAUCCACUGAAGAAGUCAAGUGAAGGUGGGUAAAAUAGGGAGAUUAGUGACAACUUUGUGCCAAAUUUUUUAAAAAAUGGAAGCAGGUAGCCAAUAUUAGAAUGAUAAUUUAAGGGUGUGGUUGAAUUUUAGUUAGUUGUCACAUAGUUAUUGAACCUCAUAUGCUCAGUGCUGUGGGAAUCAAACAUGGAAGAGGUAUGGCUCCUGCCCCUAAUGAGAACAAGGGGGAAAAAUCCAGAUAUAAUCUAAAUGCUAGGUUAUGUCAGGGUAUAGGAACACAGAGAAUGGGGGACCUGUAAGAACUGGAAGAGUCAGAGAGGGCUCCAUUGAAGAGGUCAAACAUAAUUCCGGAAAGAAUUAGGUAGUGAGGAGAUUGUGCCAGGAAAAUAAGUGGGAAAGGCCACAGUUAUGUUUCCUUUGAAUGGAAGAGAGACAAAGCUAUCAGCUAUAGAUCAUUGUUUUCUUAAGACAGCCAAACUGGCCCUUUGAAACCAUUCAAAUUACCCCAGUUUAGCUCCCUACCUUUUAGUCUCCGUGAGGAAGACAAGCUGUUGCAUUAUCAUAUUCCUCUGUGCUGAGCAGCUCAAGACUCAGCCACAAUAUGCAAAUUGCUUUAAUGCCAUAUUACGGCAGUUGAUUUAGACAUUUGCCAGUGCACCAAACCAUGAGAGAUUGUCCGACCUAAUGCCACCUGGCAGAUGUGUACCCAGAGAUUUUUCUGUAGCUCCAUGUUUCCCAUAAAGGGCAUUGGAAAUGCACAGAUGAAGAUCUUCCUUUGGAACCAGGCACAUUUGGCCCCUUCUCAGUGACUGCACUGUGGAACUCUUCUUAAGAAAAUAUUGAAAACAGCUUAAUGCUUUCAUAUAGUGACCGACAUUUAGUUGAAAACUACUGCUGCAUAGCAAAUAUUGUGACUCUUCAUGUGUCCACAGGAGCUCUUGUGUGGGUUUAAAGCUAUGAAGUGUAUUCACAUUGUGAAGUUUUAAUUAUCUUUAUUGAAAUUAAUUGUGUAAAAAUGGUAUGUGCUCUAUUAGGUAUUCAGUUUGUAUGUGAAUUCUAUAAAGAAAGUGGUUUUUGUUCUUUGAGUUUGUUUUAUUUCUUGAAGAUUACAAUAAAUAUCUAAGAGACUAUAUUCCUG
rnacentral:lncRNA from 1 species